ensembl:lncRNA
ACUGAUUCCUGAAGAGCUGAUUAUAGCUGAUCAGCAACACCUGUGACACCUGCAGGAUGGGUAUAUGAAACCUGCCGUGUGGCUCAGAUCGUAUUUUCUGUUGGUGGCUGAAGUAAUGGGAGCGUUUUGGGCCUUGCUUGUUUUUGUGCUGACUGUCUGGUUCACCAAAGGCUCUGGUUGGCCAGUUGGUGGCACAAAUGUGAAUGGUAAUGGGCCGCAAAGGGCAAUGAGAGAGCUGUCUCCUAAUGAGCCCUCCAUAAAGAAGGCUCUUACGCUUCACCAGUCUGAGUCUGUGUUCCUGCGGAAGUCAAAAGAAGUCCAACUGGAAACUAACGAAGUGGAGGUUAAGGCAUCAGCUGCCUACCUGAAAGCUGUUGAACAUGCGCAUAACGACGGCGUUCCCAUCGGCGCCACGCUGGCGCCCUGCUCAACGGCUCGCUGGGCGACUACGGCGGCUACGGCGGCGCCCCUGCUCAACGGCUCGCUGGGCGACUACGGCGGCUACGGCGGCGCCCUGCUCAACGGCUCGCUGGGCGACUACGGCGGCUACGGCGGCGCCCUGCUCAACGGCUCGCUGGGCGACUACGGCGGCUACGGCGACGCCCUGCUCAACGGCUCGCUGGGCGACUACGGCGGCUACGGCGGCUACGGCGGCUACGGCGGCGCCCUGCUCAACGGCUCGCUGGCCGACUACGGCGACGCCCUGCUCAACGGCACGCUGGGCGACUACGGCGACGCCCUGCUCAACGGCACGCUGGGCGACUACGGCGGCUACGGCGACGCCCUGCUCAACGGCACGCUGGGCGACUACGGCGACUCCCUGCUCUACGGCGGCUACGGCGACGCCCUGCUCAACGGCACGCUGGGCGACUCUUUUACUCCAACGAUACCAAACUAAUAAGUUGGGUGGACCUUUUGGGGCACAUUGCUUUAGUUUGUCGUGUAACUUAAGGAUGUUUCUGCUUGUACCGCUGCUUUAAAUAAAAUGUUUGCCUCAAUUUUUGGUGAAGAAGCUGAAUUAGUGACUUUCAUUCAUUUGUAAUACUCGUUUGAGGGGUACAAUUUUGUAUUCAAAUACUUUCUCCACAAAGUUCAGGUUUAACGUAAUUUCCAGUUAAAUAUUUUAUCCAAGUCAUGCCUUGAAUAUUGUAUAAUUUCUGUUUGGCUACAUGGUCUAUCCCGCAAACAUUUGUUGCUGCGCUAGCAUGCUGUUAAGGCUAGUGCAUAGCCAGGGUCAAGUACUCUUCACAGGAAGUCAUGUGAUGACAUUCUGUGACCGUUCUCUUUUGGAUUGGAGAACCCUGUGCUGUAUUGCUGUUUGUCAAGUAAUCAGCCAUAUUUGAAUGAUAAACUGGAUUUUAUUAUAUUAGGAAGAACUAUAUAUCAUUUGAGGCGUCUGUGGGUGAGUGGGG